rnacentral:rRNA from 1 species
GACGAACGCUGGCGGCGUGCUUAACACAUGCAAGUCGAACGAGAAUCUGCUGAAGGAGGAUUCGUCCAACGGAAGCAGAGGAAAGUGGCGGACGGGUGAGUAACGCGUGAGGAACCUGCCUUGAAGAGGGGGACAACAGUUGGAAACGACUGCUAAUACCGCAUGACGCAUAGAGGUUGCAUGAUCUUUAUGCCAAAGAUUUAUCGCUUCAAGAUGGCCUCGCGUCUGAUUAGCUGGUUGGCGGGGUAACGGCCCACCAAGGCGACGAUCAGUAGCCGGACUGAGAGGUUGAACGGCCACAUUGGGACUGAGAUACGGCCCAGACUCCUACGGGAGGCAGCAGUGGGGAAUAUUGGGCAAUGGGCGCAAGCCUGACCCAGCAACGCCGCGUGAAGGAAGAAGGCUUUCGGGUUGUAAACUUCUUUUAAGAGGGAAGAGCAGAAGACGGUACCUCUAGAAUAAGCCACGGCUAACUACGUGCCAGCAGCCGCCGUAA